UGGGGAAUCUUGGACAAUGGGGGCAACCCUGAUCCAGCCAUGCCGCGUGAGUGAUGAAGGCCUUAGGGUCGUAAAGCUCUUUCGCCUGUGAAGAUAAUGACGGUAGCAGGUAAAGAAGUCCCCGGCUAACUCCGUGCCAGCAGCCGCGGUAAUACGGAGGGGGUUAGCGUUGUUCGGAAUUACUGGGCGUAAAGCGCACGUAGGCGGACCAGAAAGUUGGGGGUGAAAUCCCGGGGGCUCAACCCCGGAACUGCCUCCAAAACUAUUGGUCUAGAGUUCGAGAGAGGUGAGUGGAAUUCCAAGUGUAGAGGUGAAAUUCGUAGAUAUUUGGAGGAACACCAGUGGCGAAGGCGGCUCACUGGCUCGAUACUGACGCUGAGGUGCGAAAGUGUGGGGAGCAAACAGGAUUAGAUACCCUGGUAGUCCACACCGUAAAACGAUGAAUGCCAGUCGUCGGGUAGCAUGCUAUUCGGUGACACACCUAACGGAUUAAGCAUUCCGCCUGGGGAGUACGGUCGCAAGAUU
rnacentral:rRNA from 1 species